AGUGAACGCUGGCGGCAGGCCUAACACAUGCAAGUCGAGCGGCAGCGCGUCCGACCACCCUCGGGUGGUCGGAUGGCGGCGAGCGGCGGACGGGUGAGGAAUGCAUCGGAAUCUGCCUCGUUGUGGGGGAUAACGUAGGGAAACUUACGCUAAUACCGCAUACGACCUACGGGUGAAAGUGGGGGACCUUCGGGCCUCACGCGAUGAGAUGAGCCGAUGCCGGAUUAGCUAGUUGGUGAGGUAGCGGCUCACCAAGGCGACGACGGGUAGCCGGCCUGAGAGGGCGACCGGCCGACACUGGGACUGAGACACGGCCCAGACUCCUACGGGAGGCAGCAGUGGGGAAUCUUGCGCAAUGGGCGAAAGCCUGACGCAGCCAUGCCGCGUGAAUGAUGAAGGUCUUAGGAUUGUAAAAUUCUUUCACCGGGGAAGAUAAUGACGGUACCCGGAGAAGAAGCCCCGGCUAACUUCGUGCCAGCAGCCGC
rnacentral:rRNA from 1 species